rnacentral:tRNA from 1 species
AUGUUAUGGUCUCCACUACCUCCAGCCGUGCCUCCUCCACCUCCAGCUGGGCCUCCUCUUCAGUCAUCUACAGUUUUGCUUCAGCCCCAGCUUCCUUCUUCCAUGUCCUCUUCACAACAGGAUGCUGUAGACAACCGCAACAUUCCUGGAACGGACCGUGUAGAUGAACUGGCUGAAUACUUGGUGGAGCUACGAGAGCAGACGGGAUUGACCCUGAACAAUCCACAAGUUAGCACCAUUCUGGGUUUGCGGCAGAGUCUUGACAAAUUUGACAAAGACAGGAUUGUGUAUGCUGCAAGACAUCAGGACCGGUGGCUAACUGGGCACUUCAGGUCUCCUAAAAAGAAGGCUGUGUUCACUCCUGGGGUGGAAAGUACAAAACGGUGUGUUCUUGGCUCAAGUGGUUCACCAGCUCAGUGGCCAAACUGCUGUCGCCUGAUUGAGACCAUCUUCGUGAGGCUGUGCAACAUUCACACGAGCCCCAAAGAAAGAGGACAACACAGCGUAUCUCGGCAGCUGGUUCUGUGCAAUGGGACACUAAUGCAGCAGACAACCCUUCAACGUGUUGUAGUGAACCAGACCACCCUCAUGCAGUGGUAUAACCAACGGUUGAAGGGUCAGGAGGCGUCUGUUCUUUUGCAAGGUGUGCAACGGCCAGCUGACCCACUGCCCUUUUGCAAAAACAAAACCCAUCUCUCUGCCACAGUACCAACGCCAGCCCCCAGCUUCACACCUACCAUAUGCCAGCAAAUACAGCUGGACAGGCAAAACCUAGGUUACGGUGAAUACGGUGGACCAUCAGCCAUCCUUUCAGUUGGAGAUGUGCGUGAAAGUCCCAGUAGAUGAGGAGCUUCUGAAAUACUCCACCACGUUCAAAGUCGCUUAAAUGCCCUCUCUUCCCUUUCUGAUGCUCGCUUUGAACUUCUAUUUAAAGUUAGGCUGAUUUGUGUUAACAAUUGAACAGGUAGACCUAAUAAAGUGGAGUUUUUCUUUUGACAUUUUGCUUUACAGCUGCAAUGCUACUGCUUUGAAAUGAGUAUUAUAAUAAAAAAUAAUGCACGACGGACUAUGAUUCUUUUUUUUUUUUUGCAUUUACAACUAAACUGGGAGAUGUACAAGUCCUUUUGUAUUUUGUUUUUGCUGAAUUCAAGAAUUGCAUCAUCUGUAAAAUGAGAGCCUGACACAACUCCAGCCGUUUUAGUGAGGCUCCCCUACAGCCCUCUUCAGCUAUUUCUGAUUAGAAUCUUCUAAAACCGAAUAAUGUAAUAAUUUAUUUGAUAUGCCUCUACAAUCACUUAAAAAGUUUCGGCAGGAAAAUGCCGAAACCCGGGAUCGAACCAGGGACCUUUAGAUCUUCAGUCUAACGCUCUCCCAAUGGUUUGUAAAACUUUUAAUUUAUAACAAAGACAAUAUGUAUGUACAAUUGUGAACAAAAUGACAUUCACAUUUAAGCAUUUAUAAAGCUGAAAUUGUCAAAGAAACAAAUCAAACCCCAAUGAAACCUUGAUACAACUAUGAAAUAAGAUGUAAAACUUGCAGUGGAACUCAAAGGGCAGAACAGGCCACAGGGAUAAGCAUAUUAAAAGUAACAAUACUGCAUUACUGUCUCAUCUGCUUCAGCCACUGUUCUUUGGUGAGAGCCUCAGUGUUUGGACAGUAUAUUUUUCCUUUGUACUGAAGAGGGUGGCUGAUGGUCCACUGGAGGCAACUGCAGGAUCAAUUUGCCGUAACCUAGGUUUUGCCUGUCCAGCUGUAUUUGCUGGCAUAUGGUAUGUGUGCAGCUGGUAACUGGGGGCUGUUGUUGGUACUGUGGCAGAGAGAUGGGUUUUGUUUUUGCAAAGGGCAGUGGGUCAGCUGCCACUGGCCGUUGCACACCUUGCAAAAGAACAGACGCCUCCUGACCCUUCAGCCGUUGGUUAUUCCACUGCAUGAGGGUGGUCUGGUUCACUACAACACGUUGAAGGGUUGUCUGCUGCAUUAGUGUCCCAUUGCACAGAACCAGCUUCCGGAUCUUUUUGUAAUCCUGUAAAAUUAGAGACCAUCGAGAUACGCUGUGUUGUCCUCUUUUUUGGGGCUCGUAUGAAUGUUGCACAGCCUCGCGAAGAUGGUCUCUAUCAGGCGACAGCAGUUUGGCCACUGAGCUGGUGAACCACUUGAGCCAAGAACACACCGUUUUGUGCUUUCCACCCCAGGAGUGAACACAGCCUUCUUUUUAGGAGACCUGAAGUGCCCAGUUAGCAACCGGUCCUGAUGUCUUGCAGCAUACACAAUCCUGUCUUUGUCAAAUUUGUCAAGACUCUGCCGCAAACCCAGAAUGGUGCUAACUUGUUGAUUGUUCAGGGUCAAUCCUGUCUGUUCUCGUAGCUCCACCAAGUAUUCAGCCAGUUCAUCUACACGGUCCGUUCCAGGAAUGUUGCGGUUGUCUACAGCCUGGAAAAUAAAAACUGAUAUUUAGGUUCUCUGGCAUCACAAUUUCCUUGUCACUACUUAAAUUCUUGCAGACAGACAGACAGACUUCAGGGACCCGACGAGAACCCAAAUGCGACACCGGAGUUCGACGGAACACAGCUUUAUUAUCAGGAAUAGACAGCAGACAGGAUUCACUGGGGAGCCGGCAGGAUAGAAUAGUUGGGGAAGGUGGAAGGUGAUCUAUAGAUCGACUGAGAAUUUAUUUAUUUAUCACUUACAUCCUGUUGUGAAGAGGACAUGGAAGAAGGAAGCUGGGGCUGAAGCAAAACUGUAGAUGACUGAAGAGUAGGCACGGCUGGAGGUGGAGGAGGCACGGCUGGAGGUGGAGGAGGCACUGCUGGAGGUAGUGGAGACCAUAACAUAACAAGUAAUCAGAAACGACGCACUCCAGCGUACAACUGCCAAAGAAAACAAGCAAUUUCAUCGGCAGAAAAAAAUACAACCAGCUAAAGCUCCGGCAGCAACUGCACAAACUUUAUUGCAAAACUCCCGAUGAUCAAGUUACAUUAGCGUUACAAAUGCCUGACAUGACUUGGACAUAUUGCAUUGAGCAUUUACGGUGAUAUUUUAUGUGAAAUGAAAAAAAAAACCGUAACGAAUAACAGACCUCAAUUUGCGCACGUACCUUGUCAAAAUCCACGGAGAUGUCCGUAAUAAACAGCGGGCAGAUUUUUAAAUUCUAAAUAAACUCUCGGAUCGAUUGGCUUUUCCAAAGAUUGAGACCGCAGUUUAAUUUAAACCGGGAAACACUGUCGAAAGAUUGAAUCACGCAGACGAUUGGCUGUUGAAAGAUUGAAUCACGCAGACGAUUCGCUGCUGAAAGAUGGAAUCGCGCACAUGAUUGGCUUUCGAAUUUCUGAAUCGGCGACGCGACAGGCGGGUUUAUAUGGAUUUGCGGUCGCCAAGCACCGCCCUUUCGGCUACCGUACGAAUUCCCGGGAGAUGUGCGUGAUAUGAAAGUCCUAGUAGAUGAGGAGUUUCUGAAAUACUCCACCACGUUCCAAGUCGCUUAAAUGCCCUCUCUUCCCUUUCUGAUGCUCGCUUUUAACUUCUAUUUAAAGUUAGGCUGAUUUGUGUUAACAAUUGAACAGGUAGACCUAAUAAAGUGGAGUAUAAAAAUAAUGCACGACGGACUAUGAUUCUUUUUUUUUUUUCGGCAAAAUGCCGAAACCCGGGAUCGAACCAGGGACCUUUAGAUCUUCAGUCUAACGCUCUCCCAACUGAGCUAUUUCGGCUACCGUACUACGUAAUAGACGUAGUAGAUGUUUCCUAAUAAUAUACUACUCUUAUUCAAAUAAUAAAUAUUUGAAAAUGCUGAUUUAUUCUGUCUUAGUUCUGAAUUGCAACGAAUGAGACCGCAGUUUGUUUAGCUGUCGAAAGAUUGACUUCGCUGUUUAAUUGGUUUUUCGAAAGAUCUCCGAUUCGCUGCUAAAAGAUGGAAUCGCGCACAUGAUUGACUUUCGAAUUUCUGGAUCGGCGACGCGACUGGCGGGCUUAUAUGGAUUUGCAGGAUAGAAUAGUUGGGGAAGGUGGAAGGUGAUCUAUAGAUCGACUGAGAAUUUAUUCUUUUAUCACUCACAUCCUGUUGUGAAGAGGACAUGGAAGAAGGAAGCUGGGGCUGAAGCAAAACUGUAGAUGACUGAAGAGGAGGCACUGCUGGAGGUGGUGGAGGCACGGCUGGAGGUGGAGGAGGCACUGCUUAAGGUGGUCAUCAGAAUACCACCAAUACCCUAAUACCCUAAUCAGAAACGACGCACUCCAGCGUACAACUGCCAAAGAAAACAAGCAAUUUCAUCGGCAGAAAAAAAUACAACCAGCUAAAGCUACGGCUGCAACUGCACA